CCUUUCCUCUUCGAAUCUCGCCAUUUUCCACGAUAUACCGUGUCGCACUACAUAAAAAUAAUUAUUAGUCUUGUUUUUUUCGGUUUUCGCUUGACGAAUCCCAAAGAGCGGUCUAAUUAAGGUGAGAAAAAAAAAGGUCAAAGGAUGGUCCGCCGACGUAGGGACAACAGUUAAAGGGUUGGUUUGUUAGGUGAUAAUAUACACCCUUGUGUACGUCAUUAAUUAAAUUAUGUUAAAUUUGCUUGAGGUUUAAUUUAAGAUUGGAGCACCACGGUGGAAGGCGUAAAGGCAUAAAUCCUCGUAUAUAGUUAUUUAAUAAAUUCAUCACCUCUGAAGUAUUAAAUUUUUUGAAAUGUAUAAUAGUUUUAUAGU